UACGGGGGGUGCAAGCGUUAUUCGGAAUUAUUGGGCGUAAAGGGCGCGUAGGCGGUCUCUAAAGUCAGAUGUGAAAGCCCGGGGCUUAACCCCGGAAGUGCAUUUGAAACUCAGGGACUUGAGUAUGGGAGAGGGAAGUGGAAUUCCUGGUGUAGCGGUGAAAUGCGUAGAUAUCAGGAGGAACACCAGUGGCGAAGGCGACUUCCUGGACCAAUACUGACGCUGAGGCGCGAAGGCGUGGGGAGCAAACAGG
rnacentral:rRNA from 1 species